CGUUACCGGAUUUAUGGGCGUAAAGCGUAUGUAGGCAGUUUAUNAUGUCAAUGGUUAAAUCCUUCGGCUCAACCGAGGAACCGCUGUUGAAACUGGUAAACUAGAGUAUGGGAGAGGCAAGCGGAAUUGCCGGUGUAGGGGUCAAAUCCGUUAAUAUCGGCAGGAACACCAAAUGCGAAGGCAGCUUGCUACAACAUCACUGACGCUGAGAUACGAAAGCGUGGGGAGCGAAGCGGAUUAGAUACCCGCGUAGUCCACGCCGUAAACGAUGGAUACUANGCAUUGAGAGUAUCGACCCUCUCUGUGUCGUUCUAAAAAGCUAACGCGUUAAGUAUCCCGCCUGGGGAGUACGGCCGCAAGGCUAAAACUCAAAGGAAUUGACGGGGACUCGCACAAGCGGUGGAGCACGUGGUUUAAUUCGACAAUAAGCGAUAACCUUACCAAGGCUUGAAAUGUCACUGCUAAUCUUAUGAAAAUANGACUCCUUCGAAGGUGUGACACANGUGCUGCAUGGUUGCCGUCAGCUCGUGCUGUGAAGUGUUCCGUU
rnacentral:rRNA from 1 species